CCUACGGGAGGCAGCAGUGAGGAAUAUUGGUCAAUGGACGCAAGUCUGAACCAGCCAUGCCGCGUGCAGGAAGACGGCUCUAUGAGUUGUAAACUGCUUUUGUACGAGGGUAAACGCAGAUACGCGUAUCUGUCUGAAAGUAUCGUACGAAUAAAGAACGGCUAACUCCGUGCCAGCAGCCGCGGUAACACGGAGGAUUCAAGCGUUAUCCGGAUUUAUUGGGUUUAAAGGGUGAGUAGGCGGUCGGAUAAGUUAGAGGUGAAAUCCCGAGGCUCAACUUCGGAAUUGCCUCUGAUACUGGUCGGCUAGAGAGUACUAGCGGUAGGCGGAAUGUAUGGUGUAGCGGUGAAAUGCUUAGAGAUCAUACAGAACACCGAUUGCGAAGGCAGCUUACCGAGCUACUUCUGACGUUGAGGCACGAAAGCGUGGGGAGCGAACAGGAUUAGAUACCCGAGUAGUC
rnacentral:rRNA from 1 species